GAUGAACGCUGGCGGCGUGCCUAAUACAUGCAAGUCGAGCGAACAGACGAGGAGCUUGCUCCUCUGACGUUAGCGGCGGACGGGUGAGUAACACGUGGAUAACCUACCUAUAAGACUGGGAUAACUUCGGGAAACCGGAGCUAAUACCGGAUAAUAUAUUGAACCGCAUGGUUCAAUAGUGAAAGACGGUUUUGCUGUCACUUAUAGAUGGAUCCGCGCCGCAUUAGCUAGUUGGUAAGGUAACAGCUUACCAAGGCAACGAUGCGUAGCCGACCUGAGAGGGGGAUCGGCCACACUGGAACUGAGACACGGUCCAGACUCCUACGGGAGGCAGCAGUAGGGAAUCUUCCGCAAUGGGCGAAAGCCUGACGGAGCAACGCCGCGUGAGUGAUGAAGGUCUUCGGAUCGUAAAACUCUGUUAUUAGGGAAGAACAAAUGUGUAAGUAACUAUGCACGUCUUGACGGUACCUAAUCAGAAAGCCACGGCUAACUACGUG
rnacentral:rRNA from 1 species